GUGUGGUCUAGGGUCUUCAAAGUGAACGAAACAAACUGCAUAGAUCACCAGGUUCCAGCGUUUUCUGAAGAAUUUUUAUUUUAUUUUCCUUUUCUGACAUCCAUCUGCUCUCCUUCUUGAGCUUCCACAAACACUCUUUUUUUUAAAGCCAAUUGGCAACACAGCUGCACAUAAGUGGGCCAAGCCACAAUCAAACAGGUAAAAAUGAAACAAAGACAAAGUCUAAACAGAAACAAGAAUAAUAUUAAUUUAAUUUACAAACUCAACAUAAUGAAAUAAUGUACAAAAUAAACCCUGCCAAACAAGAUGACUCAAAAGUUACUUUAAAGAAAAACAAACAAAGCAAUACUAGAAAACCCUCUAAUUGGUAGAUCCCAGCAAGGUAAUCAGUGACAUCAUUCAGCCAUUCAACAGGAGACACUGGGCCGGCCACUCCCACACUCCUGACCUGCUGCAAAGCUACAAGGGAGAAUGGGCAAGAACCAAACCGAAAGCUCACCUGCAGCUCCAAGCCUCACUUGCCUGCUUGCUCUCUGCUCAUUCCACCCUGUACAGACCAGCGACUCGCCUCAGAUGCCUCUGCUUGCCCGGAUCCUGCUUGCCUUCUCCUCCCUCUAACCUUCAAGGGAACACAAACCUCAGACCAGACCCAAGAAGGGAACUCCUGCUGUACCUCUAUAUUACAGAUUGUAAAUACAUUUAAUUACUUUGCAUCCUGCUUCCAAUUCUGCAUGUGGUUCAGAAACCUUCGUUCAAACAUGACAAAAUUAAAGCUAAAACCCAACUUGGUCAGGGCUACCUUUGAUUAGUUAGCAUGUUCUGUUAGCAUGAACAUGGUUAAUUAUAAUGUAUACAGCAAUGAAUUGUUUUAACAAACUAAAUGAAACGGACAUUUCUUUGGGAAACAGUUACAACUAAAACUAAGGCUGUCAUUGUGAACAUGUUAACACAUGUAAUUAAUCUGAAAAUUUUAACACAUUAAUAUUACAUAAUUGAGAUUAAUUGAACUAUUAUUUUGAUGUAAAAGCCUCUCUCCCCCAGAGGGUUAACCUAGUUCACAGCUGAGCACUAUGAACCUGACACAUGGGGAGUGAUGUACAACAGGGCCAGGGUAACGUUAUCCACAACAGUAGACAUCAACAAAAAUUUUACAUAGGAAAUUAAUGGAACAUUUCUGAAUUAAUGUUUAACAGAAAAUAACUUCCUUUAUACCUUCGUGAAUAUCAAAGUCUGAACAAAUAAGAAUCUGAGACAUGUUUGGUUUGAGACAAAAUAUUUUCUUAAUCUUCUGAAAAUGUUUUUGAUAUGGGGGGGAGUUACCCAGGAUGGCACAAGAAAUGGGUGGAGCACCCAGCAACUAGAAAAUAAAUUAUAUCCUGUCAGUUGUCCCCUGAACAAGUUUGCUAAUACCUUAUACAGGUGCAGUGUUGUAAGCUGGAAAAAUUUGAAAUAAAAUUAUU